UAGAAAACACUGGUUCCUGUAUGAUCACUGAAGUUAAGCAAUGUUGAACCUAGUCAGUACCUAGAUGGGUAACCACUUGGGAAUACCAGGCAAUGUA